CCUCCUGCCAGCAACAGGGCCAGUUACACAGCAGCAAGGACACUAAUGAGUCCUUAGGACACUAAUGGUUUCAGUCCCAGCCCUGCAGUCAAGGGGUAUUUUGCAUCGUUGUGCAAGUGCAGAAUUAAUGCUCCCCCAGAGAUUUUUUUUUCUUCUGCAGACUAAUUGAUUCUGACGGGGAGGUCAGGAAGGGAAGCUGCAAUUACACCUUUUGCCCACCAGGGGCUGAUGUGAUGCCAGAAGAGAGGGCAGCAGGCUCAUGGGUUGGAGCAGCCAGCCAUGGAAGGGGAGAGGGCAGAGGCUGCCUUCUUCACAGUGCCUUGUCCACAGACCAGAUGAGGAGAUGUGGGCUAUGGUGGACUGGACAGAGCAGGGCACAUGGGGCUGCUGCAGUGGGGGGUCACACGAGUUCAGAAGGGCUAGUGAGGGGAACAGACUGAGGUGGCGGCACAGGAGCUAGUGGGGUAGCAGCAUUGAGCCAGGGGCUGAAUGGGAGUGAGGGUGCAGGGCCACAUGGGGAUGGGGAGGAUUGUGAGGUGCAGGGACACAUGGGAACAGGGGCAGCUAUGCCUAGCUGAGUGAGGGUGCAAGGCUACAUGGGGAUGGAGGGGGAGUGCAGAGCCACAUGGGGGACAUGUAGAUAUGCCUGGCUGAAUGGGGGUGCAGGGACACUUGGGGACAGGGGCAGAUGUGCCUGACUGAAUGGGAGAGGCUACGGGUCAGCCAGGGUCUGCAUGAGGGAAGCUCCCCAACUCCCAAACAAUCCCUCCCGCCAAAAUCUAUUCCAUACUUCUCCCACCCACACCCAGCAACCCUCCAGGUUCACUCCCAGGCUCCCCUCUCUCUCAGAUCCUCUGUUAUCCCUGACUCCCACAAGCCCUUGCACUGCUUUUGAACAGUGCAGGAAAUACAUUUCUGUAUUUCAGCUUAAAUGAAUUAUUACUCAAAGUUCUGGAUUAAUAUGCCUAGUGAGGAAUCUAUUUGUCAAAAAACAUUUCCUGAAUCUUUUUUGUUGUUGUCUGUAUUGUUACCGACGGACUUGCUGACAGGGAUUUUGAAGUAAAUUACCAGAAUAAUUGAAACUGGCGUGAUUAUAUUGUUGAUUAACUUGCCUAGU